rnacentral:sRNA from 1 species
GCUGGGCGGAGUGGUGCCUGCCUGUAUUCCUAGUGACUUGGAAAGCUGAGGCAGAAGGAUCACAAGUUUGAGGCCAGCCUGGGUAACUGAGACUCUGUCUCAA